UUGAUAGUACAAAGAGAGGGGAGAAAGAAGACGCCAAAAGAAAGAAAAAGGAAGAAGACCCAUCUUAUUUUACAAGAGAGCCUGGCGGCUAGUAACUCUCAAAACAGAGAGAGAGAGAGAUAGAGAGAGAGUCCUUUUCUAACAAUCUAGAUAGGAUUUUUACUAAGACAAUUCUCAGAUCUGUCUCUUCCUUUUUCAUAUUCCACCUGUACGUUUGCAUUUCAGGUUGGCUUUAGAGAUAUCUCUAAUCUAAUUCUUGUUCGAUCUGCAUAAAUGGAUCCAAUGGGUGAAGAACAAUUAGAUUAUGAGGAUGAUGAGUACGGGGGAAGUCAGAAACUGCAGUUUCAGGGCAGCGGAGCGAUCUCUGCACUUGCCGAUGAGGAGCUAAUGGGGGAAGAUGAUGAGUAUGAUGAUCUUUACAAUGAUGUGAAUGUUGGUGAGGGUUUCAUGCAGUCAAUGCAACGGAAUGAGAUGCCAGUUUCAUUAGGUGGUGUGGGAAAUGGGGGACACCAAGGCCAGAAGGUCGACGGGGGCCCUGGGUUGAGGGUUUCAGAGCCUGUUGUGUCGCAAGAGGUGAGCAUCCCCGGUGUUGGGGUGGGAGGGAAGGAGUCGAAUGUUGGUGCUGCCGGUUUCUCCGAUGAACAGAAAAAGACAACAUCUUUGUCUGGCAAAGGUUUGGAAGAUAGAACUAGUGAUUACCCAGCUGGGGUUUCUCAAAAAGGUCGUGUUUUGGAUAUAGCUCCUGAGCCUCAAGUAGGAAAUUCAGGAUUUCAAGGAUCCAUGCCUGUUAUGCCAAAUGUCGUUGCUGAUCCUGGUCAAGUGCCAGCAAGGUUUGUUGGUGGGCCGUCUUCAUUUCCAGAUCAGGCCAGUGGUGGUGCCAGAAGUGGUCCCCCGAUGGCAAUCAAUCAAGUGGGAACAGGUGUGAACAGGCCAGUGGUCAAUGAUAACACGAUCAGACCUGUAGUAGGUUCUGUAGAGAAUGGCACAGCUACUCUAUUUGUGGGAGAAUUGCAUUGGUGGACUACUGAUGCAGAGCUUGAGAGCGUCUUGUCUCAGUAUGGUAGGGUCAAGGAAAUCAAGUUCUUUGACGAGAGAGCCAGUGGAAAAUCGAAAGGCUAUUGUCAAGUUGAGUUCUAUGAUUCUACUGCAGCGGCUGCUUGCAAGGAAGGGAUGAACGGUCAUGUGUUUAAUGGGCGGGCUUGUGUGGUGACAUUUGCUUCAUCUCAAACUUUGAGGCAGAUGGGUGCUUCUUAUAUGCACAGAACCCAAGCACAAGCUCCAUCUCAGCCUCAAGGAAGGAGACCAAUGAAUGAUGGGGUUGGUAGAGGUACUGGAAUGAAUUAUCAGGGAGGAGAUGGCGGGAGGAAUUAUGGUAGGGCUGGGUGGGGUCGAGGUGGUCAGGGAUUACUUAAUAGAGGGCAAGGUGGACCAAUGAGGGGAAGAGGGUCUAUGGGAGGAAGGGGAAUGGUUGGAAAUACAGGUGGGGUUGGAAGCGGCACCACUGGAGGCCCUUAUGGACAGGGCCUUGUGGGCCCUGCAUUAGGUGGUCCCACUGGGGGGCUGAUGCAUCCACAGAGCAUGAUGGGUGCUGCAUUUGAUCCGACAUAUAUGGGCCGAGGAACUGCUUAUGGGGGGUUUCCUGGACCUGCUUUUCCUGGGAUGAUGCCUUCGUUUCCUGCCGUUAAUACAGUUGCUGUUCCUGGAGUCGCACCACAUGUUAAUCCAGCUUUCUUUGGCCGAGGAAUGCCUGCAAAUGGAAUGGGAAUGAUGGGUAGCACCGGGAUGGAUGGGCAUACAGGGAUGUGGACAGAUGCAAGCAUGACUGGAUGGGUGGGAGAUGAACAGGGGAGAAGGACUAGGGAAUCGAGUUAUGGUGGUGAUGAUGUAGCAUCUGAUUACGGGUAUGCAGAUGCAAGCCAUGAAAGAGGAGGAAGAUCAAAUGCCCCACGAGAGAAGGACACAAGGGGUUCCGAGCGCGACUGGUCAGGGAAUUCCGAAAGAAGGCAUCGUGAUGAGAGGGAACAGGAUUGGGACAGGUCGGAUAGGGAUAGAGACCGGUACAGGGAUGAAAAAGAUGGGUACAGGGACCACAGGCAGAGGGAUCGCGACUGGGACAACGAAGAGGACUGGGAUAGAGGGCAAUCCUCAAGGUCUCGUAGCAAAUCGCGUAUGAUGCAAGAGGAAGAUCACAGGUCUCGAUCUAGGGAUGCAGACUAUGGGAAGAGGCGGCGGUCUGACUGACAUGAUCUGAUGCUGUUCCACUAUCCUUCUCUUUCAGCAGGGAGUUUAACAGAUGGACAGAUCUUAUGGAGGCUGCUGGCGUAUGUCUGGUGUCACAUUUCAUCAGGCACAGCAGGAAAUUUUUAGUGCUUGUUUUUCUCAAGCACUUUGAGGCCUAACCCUGUUAACUAUUCUUGUACUCCUGGAAGAUGGAUGCCUCUCUCAUUGUGCAUGGGCCUCAUUUUUGAAAAUUUCCAGUAUAGGAAGAUGGGACAUACUGGGUUCUGUGCUGGGUUGAACAUCGUGGAGUCUUGAGUGUUUAAAGGGGAUGUUGAAGGUCAGUCUUGUAUAGAAGCCUGAUCAUGUUUUAUAUGUAAGGGAAGAUUUUUUUGUCUGUAACAUGUUCAUGUAGAGAAUUGUAGAUGGCCCAAGGAAGAUUUUUUCUGUAACAUAUUCUUGUAGAAAAUUGUAGAUGGCCUUGGCUUGUAUAGGUUCUUUGUUGUCGUCGGUGAGCUUGUAAAGUCCUUUAUUCCCUUCACACUUGUAAUUGAUACUAGCUGUACAUGUCAGCUACUGUACUAUGGGGUUUUCCCCCUUCAUCUGUAACCAGAGAUGAUAAGAUCAAUGGAAACUGGCUUCGUCAAAGCAACUUCACUGUAA